UUUUAGUGCAGUUAUGGAUUUCCGUGUUCAACAUUUGACCGUCCGUCUUAUUUCAAAACUUUAUGCAAAAAUAAAAAAAGUAGUCACACAUAAAGUAUUAUUCAUAUUUUACCAUCUAAUAGCAAUAAAAUACUAAUCAUAAUUUUUUUUAAAUAAGAUGGACGGUCAAACAUUGGAGCAAAAUUGUGGUCUUUCUAGGA
rnacentral:pre_miRNA from 1 species